rnacentral:rRNA from 1 species
GAAGAUGUAUUCACUGGAGUUGAGCACAGGGAAUGCAUGAGGCAUUUGGCAGCUAAUUUUUCCAAAAAAUUUAGAGGAAAGUUUUUUGAUGAUAAUUUGUGGCCUUGUUCAUUGACAUAUAGCAUGAAAAAACACAAUUAUCAUCUUAGACAGCUACACAGCAAACCUGGUGUGAAAGAGUACCUAGAAGAGCAUCAUAGCAAACUAUGGGCCAGGGCCUUGUUCAAUGAAAUAUGCAAAGUUGAUUAUGUCAAUAACAAUUUAGCUGAGUCAUUCAAUUCCAAAAUUAAGAAGUGGAAGGGGAUACACAUUGUGGACUUGCUUGACAAAAUUAGGCAGUUCAUAAUGGAAAAGUUUGACUUGAGACAGCAGAUUGCAGCUGGGACAUACAAUGGGCACAUCAUAAUCCCAAAAAUCAUGAUUAUGCUUCAUGCAAAAUCAAAAGACCUUGAUAUGUCCAUAGUGAAAAGAAGCACAUUAGAGGCAGAGAUUACUGCAAUUGACAAGGAAAAAAGAGAGUGGAGAUAUCCUGUUAAUUUGCAAACACAUACUUGUAGUUGUAGAAAGUGGCAAAUAAUAGGACAACCAUGCAUACAUGCAUUGUACUUUAUCACUUCAAUGAGAGGUCCAGUUAGUGAGAUUGAUCAGUAUGUUCAUGAGUAUUUCUCUGUGGCAAAAUUCAAGGCUACUUAUGCUGAUAAUCUGCCACUUCUGGAGGGCAAGCAACAAUGGGAUGUUGUAGACCCAGGAUUUAAACUGAGUGCUCCAUUGCAAAAUAGGCCACCUGGUAGACCUAGGAAGACAAGAAUU